CCUACGGGUGGCAGCAGUGAGGAAUAUUGGUCAAUGGACGAGAGUCUGAACCAGCCAAGUAGCGUGAAGGAUGACUGCCCUAGGGGUUGUAAACUUCUUUUAUAAAGGAAUAAAACGAGGCACGUGUGCCUUUUUGCAUGUACUUUAUGAAUAAGGAUCGGCUAACUCCGUGCCAGCAGCCGCGGUAAUACGGAGGAUCCGAGCGUUAUCCGGAUUUAUUGGGUGUAAAGGGAGCGUAGAUGGGUUGUUAAGUCAGUUGUGAAAGUUUGCGGCUCAACCGUAAAAUUGCAUUUGAUACUGGCAGUCUUGAGUACAGUAGAGGUAGGCGGAAUUCGUGGUGUAGCGGUGAAAUGCUUAGAUAUGACGAAGAACCCCGAUUGCGAAGGCAGCUUACUAAACUGUGACUGACAUUGAUGCUCGAAAGCGUGGGUAGCAAACAGGAUUAGAUACCCUAGUAGUC
rnacentral:rRNA from 1 species